GUCUACGACCACACCGCCCUGAUCAUGCCUGAUCUCGUCUGAUCUUGGAAGCUAAGUAGGGUUGGGCCUGGUUAGUACUUGGAUAGGAGAGAGACAGAGACAGAGAUACUAGCAGAUC
ensembl:rRNA 5S_rRNA 5S ribosomal RNA